GAAAAUUUGGGUAAAGCAGUAUUUACGGCAGUUUUUUUUUUUUUUGUAAUCCUCCUUUACAGUUAUUUUUUCAGUUUCAAAUGGGUUUUUAAUGUCUCCAUUUCAGUUAGACCAGAAAUAAUAAGUCUUAUCUCAGCACCAGCAACUGAAUAACAGGGGAUUCACAGCAGGCAAAGAAAAGAGAGGAAGAUAGCUUUAGAAAACUACUUAACUCAAUAAGUGCAGGCUAGCCAUUUGAACUCUAAAUAUUUCUUACCGUGCACAAAGCUACUAUUUAUCAUUGCAUGCAGGCAUCCCUGAUAUCUCCUUGAAGGCCAGCUAGGCCUCCUUGGCACUUCUCCUUUUAGGAGAGUAGCCAAGGCCACCUUGUCCUUGUGGCUUUGUCAAAGAGUAGGAGGAGGUGUUUUCCAAGAAGGAUGAAACCCAAGCUUCUCCAGUGCAAGAAAAAUAGGGCAUAUUGUCCUGGAAUUAUGGCCAACAUUCUACAGGGCAACAGGUCAUUGAUUCUGAUCCUGCCAGCAUCCACCCAUCUUACUGGUGGGCAUCAUCCCAGGGUGAACCUGUGAAAGAUAUUGCUUAGUACUGCUUGGAGCUAUUUUUAGCCUCUGUGGACAGCUCCAUAGGGAGAAUGAACUAUUCGUCAACGUCAACCAUAUUUUACUGAAGAUUUUGAAGGUAUUCCAAUGUGACUGACUACUACGUUUCCUCACAUGUGUGCUGCUGUAUCUGAGAUCACCAUGUUUUCAAUGAUCUCAUAUGAACCUGUUUCUGUUCAGAAAAAAUCCUUCCCUGGUGAUCCUAUUGUGGUAGACAUAAAACUGUGCCACCCAGAUCCCAUUCCAGGGAAGAAUAUGCUGCUGAGCUGUUGGAAGUACAAUCAGUGGAAAACCUUGGUCUGUCAGCAACUUCAAGGUUUGCCUCCUUUGCAGAAAUGGUCCAUUCAAAGUCAUGCCCUUCCUAUAGCAGUCUACAUUCAACCACUGAGUGAGGCAGAAAUAAAAAAGUGCUGAUAAUUUUCAACCUACAAGGGCAUUAAUGAGCAAUACCUGCUCCAUAGCUCCACAGUGGGUUCUCAGAAGAUGUGUCUUGCCUGCAGCACAGCUUGACUCCUUCCACUAUUCAUUUUUUCUUCUUUUCCUUUUACUUCAGAGGCAUUAAAAAUGAAUAAAAAUCUUGAACUCCA
rnacentral:lncRNA from 1 species